rnacentral:rRNA from 1 species
CCCUUCGGUUCGGAAUAACUCAGGGAAACUUGAGCUAACACCGGAUACGCCCUUCGGGGGAAAGGUUACGCCGAUGGAGCGGCCCGCGUCGGAUUAGCUAGUUGGUGAGGUAAAGGCUCACCAAGGCGACGAUCCGUAGCUGGUCUGAGAGGAUGAUCAGCCACACUGGGACUGAGACACGGCCCAGACUCCUACGGGAGGCAGCAGUGGGGAAUCUUGCGCAAUGGGCGAAAGCCUGAUCCAGCAAUGCCGCGUGAGUGAUGAAGGCCUUAGGGUUGUAAAGCUCUUUUACCCGGGAUGAUAAUGACAGUACCGGGAGAAUAAGCCCCGGCUAACUCCGUGCCAGCAGCCGCGGUAAUACGGAGGGGGCUAGCGUUGUUCGGAAUUACUGGGCGUAAAGCGCACGUAGGCGGCUUUGUAAGUUAGAGGUGAAAGCCUGGAGCUCAACUCCAGAACUGCCUUUAAGACUGCAUCGCUUGAAUCCAGGAGAGGUGAGUGGAAUUCCGAGUGUAGAGGUGAAAUUCGUAGAUAUUCGGAAGAACACCAGUGGCGAAGGCGGCUCACUGGACUGGUAUUGACGCUGAGGUGCGAAA